rnacentral:rRNA from 1 species
AUAUUGGACAAUGGAGGAAACUCUGAUCCAGCCAUGCCGCGUGAGUGAAGAAGGCCUUCGGGUUGUAAAGCUCUUUCAGUAGUGAAGAUGAUGACGGUAACUACAGAAGAAGCUCCGGCUAACUUCGUGCCAGCAGCAGCGGUAAUACGAAGGGGGCGAGCGUUGUUCGGAAUCACUGGGCUUAAAGCGUACGUAGGCGGAUCGGCAAGUCAGGAGUGAAAUCCCGGGGCUUAACCCCGGAACUGCUUUUGAAACUGCAAAUCUAGAGUCCCGGAGAGGUUGGCGGAAUUCCGAGUGUAGAGGUGAAAUUCGCAGAUAUUCGGAGGAACACCAGUGGCGUAGGCGGCCAACUGGACGGGAACUGACGCUGAGGUACGAAAGCGUGGGGAGCAAACAGG